rnacentral:misc_RNA from 1 species
UUAUGACCAGAAUUUUAAAGAAUGAAACUGGCUAUGAUGGAAACUGAUACACUUUUUGAACACCACACUGUAAAGGAGAUUCAGGAUAUUGAGAAAAAAAUAAGAAAUGAUAUUGAAAGGAAGAAAGAAGAUCUGCGUCAGAUGGUGGGAGAAAGAUACCGAGAUCUGAUGGAAGCUGCUGAUAAAAUAACAGAAAUGAAAGUUAAUUCGGAGAAGGUAAAUAAACACAUUCUGGCCAUGGAGACAAUCUGCAAAAGAUUAGAACACUGGAAUAUCCAACCCAAACUGCAUACGAGUGAAAGUCCAAGGAAGUUGGAGACAGAAAUUCUGUAUGGCCUUGUUGCACAAGUUAAUCUUCUAGUCCAGGCACCAAUUAAGAUGUGGGAGAUGUUGGAAAACAAUGAGUAUCUUAAUGCAGUUCUGGUGUUUCUGUUAGCAAGACACACGCACACCUCCUUGGUUCUGAUGCCUAGCAACAAAGUUUCUGCUGCGACUGUCGUAAAACUGUUUCCUGUCAUUAGUCGGCAGUGGGCUGUGAUUAAACCUUUUCAAACAUCCAUACUUCAGGUCUGUCAAAAGGCACUGAUAUCACAAGAUAUUUCUGAAGAGGAUGUUUCUAAGGCUCUAGCCUGUAUUGUGUUGUUAAGUGACUCGACUCCUGAAGCUGUGUUUCGUGAGUACAUGGAAGCAAGGAAGGUUGCAGUUCAACAGAUGUUUAAACCAGAAAGACAAGGGACCACUACAAAAGUACUAGUGUGUGAGCUAGUGUUACUAGUCGUGAAGACUCUCCAUGCUGUUCACAGGGUUUGCUACGCUAGUGAAGAAACAACAAAAACCUUUGAAGGUGGAACUGGAUCAACAGUAAAUGAUUUGCUGAUAAAAACCUUAAUUGAAGUAACGAAAAGGAUUGUGUUGGUCCUGUUUCAUUAUUGAAACUUGAUGGAACUCCAAUAUCCAAGUUUCUGCCAAGUACCAUCACUGAUUUCCGUCCAGCUUUCAAGAAUGAUUACUGUUCUGUUCAUCCAGAAGUGUUGCAAGAAGUUUGUCAACAGUGGACUGACCAACUGAGCAGGGACAUUGAAAAAGGUCUUUGGGAGCUACUGGAAUGCAUCAGGACUAUAAAAGGAGUAGCUCAUGUGAGAGAUGCUGUAUUUGAACUUUUAUGUCAGAAUGACUACACAACUCGUUGGGAGCAGGCCUGCCAAGAUGUUCUUGGUAAAUCCAUGUCUUUGUGGGAAACGUUUCUGAGGCCUGUUUUUAUACACAGAAUCAAGGAUCUUCUUUCCAGCCAGUUAAAGUCUUGCAGCACCAAUUGUAAAA